GCAUAUUGAUCAGAUCUUCAGUGUGUGAGAGUGUUUAUAGUGCUGUGAGUUUAACACUUCAUCACUGACACACACAACAAUCUUCAUCAACAUGACCUUCAUCAUCAUCUUCAUCUGGACUCUCACAGCGUUUGCUCAAGAGUGUAGAGGACAGAUCACCGUCACUCAGAGUCCCUCAAUAACAGCAGAACAACCAGGAGGAACUGUGAAUAUCAAAUGUAAAACCAGCAGUAAUGUGUACAAUGGAAAUUGUUUAGCCUGGUACUUACAGAAACCUGGAGAAGCUCCUAAACUUCUGAUUUAUUACGCAAACCGCCUCCAGUCAGGAACUCCAUCUAGAUUCAGUGGCAGUGGAUCUAACAGUGAUUUCACUCUGAGCAUCAGUGGAGUCCAGACUGAAGAUGCUGGACAUUAUUACUGUCAGAGUUAUCACUACAUCAACAGUAAAAAUGUGACUUUCGGUGGAGGAACUAAACUGACGAUCAGAACCUCCGGGCCCUCCGUGUCUCCCUCCGUGUCUCUGCUGGUCUCUGGAGACUCCUCCGCUCUGCUCUGCCUGCUCAGCUCUUACUCUCCACAGGGGGCGACGGUGAGCUGGACGCUGGACGGGUCAGAGGUCACCGAGGGGGUUCAGACCAGCGCAGAGAGCGAGCGGGGCGGUCUCUACAGUCGCAGCAGCGUCCUGAGCCUCAGCAAAGCACGCUGGGAAGGCAGAGAGCGCUUGGUCUGCAGAGGAACACAUGCCGGAGCUGCUCACGAGGCCUCGUUCCUCAAGAGCUCCGAGUGCUGAUGUUUCUCCAGUGAAGACCAGCGGAUCUGAGCGGCACGUGAUUUACAGCUCAAUACUGAAGCAGUCUGUCAAUGUGCUGCCAUUGCUGUUCAUUCAAUAAAGCUUCAUCUGAACGC